GUCGGCUUAUGUAGGCUAAUAUGGCCGGCCGUCAAGAGCGGUACGACUGCGGAAAAACAACGUCUCUCGCUGGGUAUACGUUAGGUACCAUAAAACGGAAUAGAAACGUGUAUUAAAAGAAGCAGGUGUGGAUACAUAAAGGAACGUGAAGUUGGUAAUGAAUCAGUGAGUCGAGGCGAAGUUAAUAAACGAAUAGAAGCUGUACAGUGUGAGAAGUGGGGUUAUGUUGACUACUGUGUAUUAUAUGAAACUUACCAUCACGGCACUUUCGACCUUCUUCCUCGCGCCGGCCAAAAAAAGGAAGAGAAAAAUGAAAACAGGAGAAUCCGUGAGCUCUACUGAGUGAAAGAGCACACACUGGGAAUGAAAUUAAUGCUAGGCACGCACGGUCAAGGUAUUUCAAUGGCGUGUCUCGGUGUCAGAAAAAACAAUGGUUAAAGGUGGAUUUUUAUAAUUAGCACCGUGCAGCUCCCAUAUUUCUGUUCCUGUGGCUUUCGAUCGACAUAUGCACCACACAGAACAGAAUUAAUUCAAAUUACCUUGACGUUGCGUAUCGAAUUUCUUAUUCCGUGUAAAAUCAGACGUCUUCUUGUCGCCUGAUUGAAAAUCAACUCGAGUACAGUUAUACACAUAGUCACAUAUACGACAGGAAGAAAUGAAAGAGUAAGAAAAAAAAAGAACAAUAAUAAAAAGCAAAGAAAAAUCCAUCGUCCAGAAUGCCCGGUGCUCGCGACAUUCUGUUCCGUCCUGAUUUAUUUAAUUUAUAGACGGUUGCGCACCAACGUUUUUGCACACACGGAGGGGGCGGCCCAGGGGCGUACAACAAUAACAUCACUAUAAUGCACUUCCUCGUCCAGCCUUCCGAACCACCGACAAACGAGCGUUCUCCACGUUAUCCAGAGCUCGUCGCGCCAGAAGAGAGAAGAAUAACCGUGGCAGAUGUUAUCGACUCGAUUGUAUACGAGGAUGGUAAAUGUAGAGAUAUGUGUAUAUAAGGUGAAAAUAAA